AAGAACGCGGGUGGAGAGGAUGGCCACCGUGAUAUAUCUUGUUAGGCCCAACACUGUUUCCUGCCCUUGCUCCGUUACCCGACUUGGCGGCUGCCGCUUCGUCCUCUCCGAGGCCUACGAUCUCGUCGGUCGCGGUGGUGUGGGCCGAGUGAACGCCAAGAGCCGCUCUGGUUUCGUUCGCCAAGUCAAUGCUUAUCGUUGUUUGAUCAAUGAACUUGUGGAUGAAUGAAUUUGUUUAUGGGGAGGUAAUUUCUUUCUUGGAACUUCAGCGUUGCCAUUUCCUCAAACUGAUGAAAGUCUAUAGAUGUAAAAAGAUAGAUGGAUUUGACCCUGUUAGGGCUUGGUGGCCUUCGGCAGAGUAAAAUGACGGCAGUAAAUAGUGUUGUUUGUUCAAAUUCUGCUUAAGGAGAUCAUAUUGGUGCUGGUUACUCAAGCUAUUUGUUAGCUAACUUUUUGUUAGCUUUAAUGCAAGCAUAAAUGAUCAAGGGUUUUUUCAGUUUUGGAAGGAUUUUGAGGAAGAACAUGUGUCGGAUGAAAUGAGCUCCAAAUCAACAAAUAGUCCUGCGAAGUAUUAAGCAUAAUAAAGAUGGUUGGUGAUGCAGGUAGUUCUAUUGGUUCAAGUGAGGGAAGUGCAUAGAGAGUUCUUGUAACUAAUCCUCUUGAAUCUUAUUGGCGCUGAUGUGAUUCUUCUUUCUUGUUUCAAUUGAUAAAAACUUUCUUAGAGGAUGUGUCAUCAUUGAAGGUACUGUACUGGUGGCAUGGCAGUUUCUAUUAGGUCAAUCAGUCAACAAGCACGUCCAUUCAUCUAUGAUGAUAUUAUGGUUCUCCUUGUUCUUUGCAUUCUUGCUGAAGUAUUUGCAAAGAUAGUAUGCUAUUUUCGAAUUCUGCAUAUGGGCAUAAUUUCCUAGAACAACUGAUACAUCUGAGUUUUAUAUCGUUCCUGCAUAAUCUUGUGUGACAACUUGUCACUAGUUUGUAAACCCAGAAUGCCUGCAUUUGCUGUGUUUUCUUGGUUUUCUCGGUUCUCUGAUUUUCCAAAUAAUCCACAUCUUAGUUAUAACAAUGGCAGUUAAAAUUCCAUAUUUCUUUUCACUUAUUUUCUUUUGAAUGUUUCACUGCAUUUUGUAGAUUGAUGUAUGAUCACCUCUUCCAGACCCCAUCAUCCGCAAUUGCAGAACACAAUUGAGUAUGUCAACCAAAUUCUAUGAGACAUCAUUCAAACAAGUCAACCUCUUCAGCUUCCAGGAUUGUUAAUGAUAGACAUCAAUGAGUUCUCAGUUUUAUUUUUUUAUUUUUCCACUUGAAGGAGUAUCUACAGGCCCUAUAUUUUCCAGAAAUUGCUUAUCGCAUGCUGGUCCAUCAAUGUGCCUGUGUAUAUCUCUUCUGUGACAGAUAAAUCUAACAAGUUAAAAAUUGUGAAUUGUUUCUGGUGGAGGCAGAUUGUGUAUGUCUUGGAGGUCCAUUUUAAGAUUUAUACUUCCAUUAGGAUGCGAGGAUAUAUAGAGAUAACACAUGAAACUUAUCCAAGAGGAAGGGUGAUACUAGAAUGCCUGUUCCACCAAAUCUAGUCCAGGAAGUUAAAUUGAUGAUAUGGCUGUGGAUAUGAUAAUAUCACAAACUUCUAGUUUGGCUUUCCUUCCAGAUAUCUAACAUCAUAACCUACUUUUGCAUAAAUUUUAACAGAGAACUUUGAGCAUCGGAAUUUAUACUCUUGGUGCUUGUAUUGCUUGGGUGAUUUUGGCAGUCGAUUUCUUUUGACACCAUAAACAGUUAUAACAUCACAAUGGCAUGGAUUAAUGUCAGAACCAUCAAGAACUAACCAUUUUGUGUUUGGUUCAUGUAUCCUUUAGAAUGUUUCUUUUUAAGUGUUUCCUUCUAGUGCACAAUAUCUAAACUCUUUUUCUUAAUUGACAUACACGUUGCAUUAGUAUCUUAUAUUGAAAGGUGACAUAAGUGAAUUAGUGUUAAAAAUCGUAUAUUUGGACAUCUCUUUGUCAAAGUUUAUUGAAAUUUGAAAUAAUAAUUUGAGACACAAUCAUGUCACAUGAGAGUUCUUGUAGUUUGAACUUUGUUUAGUUAAUACUGUUACUUUGUUAUUUGUGUGCGUCUUUGUGUCAGUGGCAAUUUGCAGGACAAGAUAGUUGUUUAAACAAUGAUUAUUCGCCAAGCUGCUCAUCAAGGUGUGGAUCCAGGUGUGGCUGAUGGUUUGCUUUUUUCAUUGUGUGCAUGCCAACAGGUAUGGUUUUCAUAGUCAAUGUCGUCUAUCUCCCCUGCAAACAUACUUCUGUUUGUAGAACUCUUUGCUUUAUCUGCUUUGCCCAGCAUGUAUUUUGUGUGAUUGGCUACAUUUGAAGAAUAUUUGCUGUAAAUAAUUUAGAAACACAAAUUUUAGGUAAGUUUGCCUCUGCAGUUAGCCUACUUUAUUGUUGUACUUACGGAAUUACAAGUGCUUACCACUGAUGUCGUGCGUACUUGGCUUUUGAGAUCAAAAGUUUAUUCGUUCAUAGAUUUUAGCAUCAUUUUUGGUUUCUCUAAAUAUUUAUGGAGUCUCAAGCUUCGGCAUUCACAAAGGUUUUAGGGCACUCUUUUUUAGCUUGAAUUGGACUCAUUUUUUACAAACCUCUUUUUCAGGUGUAGAAUUGGCAUUUGCUUUUUUUUUUCUUUUAGACUGAUUUGUUAAAGCUAAUUGAAAACACAUCCAAUUAAGUCUAUUAAGAAUUUAAUACUCCCAUGGAUACGAUAGCUUGUUCACUUGGGCUUAUAUUUGCCUGUCUACAAACUUAAUCUUGUUUUUGUUGUUGGUGAAUGUCAUUUCCUUUUGUAUUGGUGUUUAUAUUUUGUAGAAUCUGUCCUAAAAGCACACCAUAAAUAUAGGUAGGGACACAUUGCUUGCUUUUAUUUUCCUAGAAUUACACGCAAUAAUCUGUUCGGUAUUUUUUUUUAUCUGUUUGUAGCAGUUGCCCUGUCCCUAAAGUGUGCAAUAGUUUGGGAAUUGGGUGAUAGGGUUCUAGCCACAGAAAUGACUUCUCUAUUUGGGGGAUGAAACAAUGCAUAUUGAUCAUCCCCGAUCUCCCAUGUUGGCAGACACUUGGUUUGCCUUCUUUUUUUAGUUGACAUGUCCCUCUCUUGUCAAAUUGGUUAGGAAUUCGGUACCUGUGUUUUAUUGCUUUCUUGAUGUUUUCUGAUGCCUAUAUUCAUUCAUGUAUUAAUGAGAAACUGGUGAUCACUUUUAAGUCGGAACUAAAGUCGAUGUUGGUUUGCAAUCCUCACCUCUAGGUUUUUUCACUUUUAAGUUGGAACUAAGGCGAUGAUGGCUUGCAAUUCUCACCUCUAGGUUUUCAUUUUUCCCUUUUCCUUUUAUAAGAAAUAGGAUGAAACAAUAUAAGCUCGCUUUCAUGAUCCAGCCUUGCUUGAGAUAUUUAGAUGGAGUAAUUGGUACUCUUUCUUUCAUUUGAGCAUCAUUUUCUCAUGUAGGCCACAGUAAGGAAAGCAGUGUAUCUGGAAGCACAUGCUUAUAUGAUCAUUUGUUUGACACCAAGACUUGAGAGGAAUUUGAGAUUAUUGGGACCAUGAUAACAUGCCAAGUUACAGCUGUAGUGGUGCGACCCAUCACCAGUAAGCUAUCAUUUUUUCCUUGUUAGGUUAUGCUUUCUCUGCAUGCUAGCAAUGAUUAUCCAACUAUAUUUCUAGUUCAGGAGAAGAAAAAACUGAGACUGGACUUCACACACCCAUCACUGCUUUUGGUUGGCCCAGAUGUGGUUAGCAUGCAGAGGCAGAGGGGUAUCAUGACCUUACCAAAUCACCCUAAACUCAGUCUGCUUGAUUGGAUCCUGGUCAUGCCCCAUCACUUGUUCUGCUCUCUUGGAAUCAGGCUGUCAGCCAUGCAUUGUUUAGAUAGGUAGCACAUAACCUUAGCUAGCAUGACAUUGUUUGUCAGGGCUUUACUCCCCUUCUAUCUAUUCAAAUUUUGGGCUAGUGUCUCACAACUUGAGCAUGAAAACUAAACUACACAAGUCAAACCCUCGGAAGUAAGUAUACUAUUUAUAGAUGUAUUUUCUCACUAGAUAUGGGAUUAUUUGGAGCAUCGAAAUCUCAUCGGGGCAAAUCAUUGAUGUUCUAAUCAGAUUCACACACAUUGCAUGUGAAUCCGCAUGGAUAGCUAGGACUUCCGAAAGUGAUGUGGGACAUCGAAUUGUCAUGGACGGUCAAGCUGUCACUGGUCACGGUGCUUGUCUCCAUCGAACCGAAAAUUUACUGUGUUGCAUGGUAGGUCUCAAUGUGAUCCAUCCACCAGGAUCAGUUGACCUUAUACCAAAUCUGUCAUCAUGAUUCAAGUCCAAAAUCACAGAAUUAAUCUUCCAAAAAGGAUAGUCAGACAGUGCAUUUUGAGUUAGUUGCAACUCAUACAGUUCAUAGCCAAUGUAGGAUUAGUUUGAGUUUCAAGCAAAGUACAGUUCGAGAAGAUCCACAUCUGGUUUCCAUCUUUACCUGCCCUAUGGACGGAGUUGUUCCCUGCGCCGCUUCCACUGCCACCACUACCAGCAGCACUUCAUCACCAUUGAUAAUGGUGUAAGCACUUCUCCUACAAAAGGUAGCUGUCCACUUCUGAUUUGAAGGCAAAAGAUCUGCCGGAUCCAAACUUUCUUAUGCAUCAAUGGAAGUAAAGCAAACUUCACCAUGGAAAUUGACCCCUGCGACAUGGUAACAACGCCUAGAAGUUUCUUAAUCUAAACCCCAUGCUUGAGCUGAAAUAGGAAGAUGUUGCUGAGGUCUACAUAUCUGACUGCCUUGUACAUUAUAAAUCGUAGGUGGGACAUCAUAAAUCACUCUUCAAACUCCCACUUUGGUUUCCCUAACUAUUAGAGUUGCCCACUUCUUUUAUGAUAAGAUUCUGACAGAUAUUUUCUUAGUGUCUUCCUACGUGGUAACCAUCAAAGUUUCAUCUCUGCAUCUGUAUUUAUGAAAGAGAUUUUGUCUUGGAUUUUUGGUCCAUACCUGUAUGAAUGCGUUGACAUUGUUGUAGUGGUCUGGUGAUUCAGGUCCUGAACCAGAAAAUAUAUGCAGGAGAAUCUGUAAGUCUUUCUUCAGACAUGUAUGUACUGUUGCUUGAAUAUUACAAUAUUACGAUGGCAAGCCUAUAUAUGUUUAUAUGUCCGAGAAACCACAACCUUUUGACAAGACAAGGAGCAGGAAUAGAGAAAGCAAUUUAUAUCAUUAUACUAGUAAGGUGGUGUUGGCUCAACUAGUCCUGCGCUCACUGACAUUACAUGGUAACAAAGCCAUACAAAACACCUUUGAUAGCACUGAAUGCCACCUAGUGAUUGCAUCACACCUUUUAUAUAUGACAUUGUUCGGUGAGAGAUGGUUUUAAUAAGCAUUAGAUACUCUUAAGCAACUUGUUGAGAUCCCAUCACUGCUCAUCCUGGCUUUGCUUGUUUCUUGCCUUCCUCUUCUAUGGCUGAGGGUGGCGCUGCGUGUAGAUGUAGUCCAAAUGGGCCUCGGACAUCAUUCUCCUCUCGAGGCAUUCUUGGGUUCCACCCUCGCAUGCUUCCAUGCCCAUGAGCUGAAACGAGGAAAAAGGAGUGAGAAAGCAAAGAAAGAAACCACUCCAUCAAGGUUGUGUCCUUUGCCUCACUCACAUUCCAAGGUUCCUCUUCCUCCACCCUUCCUGCAUCCUUCAUCUUCACAUGGUCUGCGUGCCAAAGCAAGAGAGAAUGAAACGAGAAGCAACAGCUGUGUUUUGGACGGAGAGGAGGAUCAUGACGAGGAGGAGGAGCAAGACGAGAGGUGCCCGAGAGCUGUGCGAGCCGUGUCUCAUUGUUCCUGGUUUCUUGCAACCCACAAACACAGGUAGG